GGGUGCGAUCAUACGAGUACUAAUGCACCGGAUCCCAUCAGAACUCUGCAAUUAAGCUUGCUUGGGCGAGAGUAGUACUAGGAUGGGUGACCUCCCGGGAAGUUCUCGUGUUGCACACC
rnacentral:rRNA from 1 species